rnacentral:rRNA from 1 species
UGGGGAAUAUUGCACAAUGGACGGAAGUUUGAUGCAGCGACGCCGCGUGGAGGGUGUAGGCCUUCGGGUUGUGAACUCCUUUUUCUCGCGAAAAAGGCACAGUUUUGGCUGUGUUGAUGGUAGUGGGGGAAGAAGCGCCGGCUAACUACGUGCCAGCAGCCGCGGUAAUACGUAGGGCGCGAGCGCUGCCCGGAUUUAUUGGGCGUAAAAAGCUCGUAGGUGGUUCGUCGCGUCUGUCGGGAAAGCCAGCAGCUUAACUGUUGGUCUGCGGUGGGUACGGGCGGGCUUGAGUGCGGUAGGGGUGACUGGAAUUCCGGGUGUAGAGGUGGAAUGCGCAGAUAUCAGGAGGAACACCGAUGGCGAAGGCAGGUCACUGGGCCGUUACUGACACUGAGGAGCGAAAGCGUGGGGAGCGAACAGG